rnacentral:lncRNA from 1 species
UGCAAAAGGGGGCCCAGCUGAGGGCAUAACUGGGGGAUGAAAUCCAUGCCAAUCUUCUGGCCAAGCGAUGCAUCCUGUCGUGGGGUUUGCAAGUGCCUAGAGAAAGAGGUCUUUUUCCCUAUUCUGUGUGAAUAUGUCAUCCACUUGCAACCCUUGUGCGUGUGGGGCUGCAUCCACAAGUCUCCUGAUGUAACGGUGACUCUGAUUAAGAAGUCUUCCAUCUGCUCUUGAAUCCCAGGUGGAGGUGGAUCUGUUGAAGAAUGCUUAUCUGUUGAGACACAGCUCAGGUGCCAGACUUUCCUAAAGCCUAGCUAAGUUGCCGAGAAAUGUUAAGAUACGAGCUCUCGAGUCUGUUUGUUCUUCUUCCUAGCUAAAUAGUAUUUUUUGCUUCUCCAAAGGCAGUUUACUUUUUUUUUUUUUUUUUUUGCCUAAUGUUACCUAACUUUGGUGCUUUCCUUUUCUCCCUUAUCAGUCCCUUGCAGCCAGGGACUGGGUCCCACUCAUCUUUGAAUGCUAAACCUCAUCCAGCUGAGUCUUGCUAGUUAAUGUUUUAUCUAAUUCAGAGAUUGCAAACUGUGGCCUACAGACUGAUCUGGCUGGUCGCGUAUCAUUGUCCCAAAGACAGUUUAACAAAUUGUGAAUUGGGUUUUUUGUUUUGCAUACAUACUCAUGUUUACAAAUGAAGAGAUUCCACGUGAAAAAUCUGCAUUUCUACUUUCUUUGGAAAAAUUGGAAGUGCUGGCAAUACUAGGCUUGCUUUCUCUCAUGAUAGCAAUCAAUCAGAGGAGGGUAUCUGCUGCCUCUUUUUACCUGGUGUGUUCUUCGGGUCACAGAAUCAACAUCGUGCCCUAUUCCUUCUUGUGAUCAUCUACCUUGCUCCUCUAGGUAUUUGGCUUAAUUGAAUAGGAGUCCAUUAGCGUAUAUGAUCCAAUAAUUUCCCUAACAUUCAAUUACUAGAUCCCUUGCUGUAGCACAGAGUUUGUCAACAUUUUUUCUGUCUUAUCAUCCAUGGUAGAUGGCUUUCAC